rnacentral:rRNA from 1 species
UACAGAGGUCCCAAGCGUUGUUCGGAUUCACUGGGCGUAAAGGGUGCGUAGGAGGUGGGGUAAGUCGGAUGUGAAAGCUCGGAGCUCAACUCCGAAAUGGCAUUGGAAACUACCCUGCUAGAGGAUUGGAGGGGGGACUGGAAUACUUGGUGUAGCAGUGAAAUGCGUAGAUAUCAAGUGGAACACCAGUGGCGAAGGCGAGUCCCUGGACAAUACCUGACACUGAGGCACGAAAGCUAGGGGAGCAAACAGG